rnacentral:lncRNA from 1 species
GUUUGGCACCUGCUUGGGAGUGACACUGCGCGCUUUCGGGGUGGAGCCUCCGAGGAGGGACGCUGCCCUUAGGGUGCACCCUGCAUUGGGGUGGGGACGCUGUCCUUGGGGUGCCCCCGCCUUCUGGGGGGUGGGGUCUGUAUGGGGGUGAAGAAGGUGGCAGCCUCCUGGGAGUGCCAUCUGGCCGUGGGGUGCGCCCUCUUGAUGGUACCCCCAGCUUGGAGUGCUCCUGUCCAGAGGAUGUCACACCUGCCUGGGGGUGCACCCAUUUGAGGAUGCCACACCUGCCUGGGGGGAUGUCUUUCUGUUGGGGCACCUUCCAUGGGCUGAUCCCGUGUUUGGGGUUACACUCAGCUUGGGGUGACACCCUUCUUAUGGUGGCAUUUUGCAUGGGGUGACCCCAAGGAGGGCAAUUGCAUCCAGUUCAUAGGACACAGCCCCACAGCAGGAAUGCUGCUUGGGCUGGGAGGUGGGCAGGUGGAAGGGAGAUGGGACUGUGGGUGCCUCCUUGCUGCCCUUAGCCCUGAGCUGCAGGAGGGGAGAGAUGGAGAUGCUGUGUGUGUGGGUAAGCAGAUGUGUGCAGUUGUUUCGGGGUGAUGGUGGUGCCCUCUGCUAGCAACUGUAGAGAUGUGGUGGUGGCUGAGUGUUUGCACUUGGCAAAACAGCAACAGGAGCCCCAUGGGUCCGUAGCUGUGGUAGUACAAAGAAGCAAAACAGAUUCACAGGGAAGAAAACAUGAAUACAUCAGUAGUGCAGCCAGCUGAAACCAUCUCCACACCCUGGCAGUGCUGUCAGCUGCUGCUUCUCAAGGGCUAACAGCUCAUCCUAACGAUGGAAUUACCCAUUCCUUUGCAUUCCAGCCAUGGGACAGCCCACAGUCUGCUACUGUAAUGUUGUAAAUUAGAUAAUAACACAGCUUUGUUAAGUGGGCUGAUUCUUCUUGCUGUAGUUUCUGUCUCAUUAGAAAUGAAGAGAAAAAAUAAAAGAAAAGAAAACCUGUCCUGAAGGAAACACCCAUUCAGCAGUCCCAGCUCUCUCCUGUAAUGAAAAUUUCCCAUUUUGCUUGUUAAGACAGCUGUAACCCCAAAAGAAAGGCAAUCCACACUCUAAAAUAAUAGAGCUGUUUGAGAAACUGGAAUGGGAAUAUGUGUUUAAACAAUAGCUGUGUGAUAAAAUAAUGACCGGCCUGUGCAGCUGUACUGCCAUAAAUAAUAAAAAAAAGACAAUUUAAUUCAACAAAUCCAUUAAUAUAAAUAAAAUAGCAAUCUCAGGGUAGAAACAAGAAAGUUGCUGUGAUAUAAAACCACGUGUAGUGCAAUGAAACCAUAUCGGCUCCAUCAGAGCAGGAGAUGUGCAUCAAGGCAUAAGAGGAGUUACAAAUAACAAUAUGACUGCCUUAUCUAAAGUGCACUAUCUCCUGGAAAGCUGAUGAAAACCCAGCAGGGUCUGCAGGCAGCUGCAGGCAUGUCCAUCCAUGCAAGCCUCUGCUGAGCAAAAUCUCAGUGGCUCUCUGUGCUCUUUGCACACAAGAGCUCGUGGGGUUUGUUUGAUCUCUGCUUCCAGUCUUGGCAAGCCCUGACUGCCUGAACGAGGCACCACAACAAAUAGAUGGAUGCUGAGCACUUUCAAGCUGGCCAUUUAGAGAGUUUGUAACCAGAAAUCAAUCCAGGCAGAAAAAAUGUACAUCUACCUGUUUACAUCAUAAACCACAAACGCGUUUGCAUCCUGCAACAAACACCUGGGCAACAUCCAGAGGAGACAUUCCCAACGUGUUAACUACUGCCAGCGCUGGGAUCCUGUAACCACAGCACAUGGAGAUGAUGGGAACUCAGUUAAAUUAAGGAGAACCACCAAGAUUGUGAAACGUGGCAGCAGGACAAGAGCUGGUUGCAACACAGGCUAGACUUUAGGUCUGUUGGCCAAUCGAACACAUCUGAUGCUGGUGAUUGGGAUGCCAGAGACAGUUCCCUGACUGCUGAUCUACCCUGUGGGUCACUGAGGCACGUUCUUGAGGGCUGAUCCUCCUGGCCUGCACAAAUCUGCAUGUCCAAUUUCCCGAAUGGCAGAAAAUUCUACAUUAAGAUGACAUUUAUCAGCUAAUCUUUUAAAAGAAAUUAACUGGGUAUUUAUGAGGCUUAGACUUAGGGUAUCAUAGAAUCAUUAAGGUUGGAAAAGACCACCAAGACCAGCAAGUCCGACUGUCAACUGAUUCCCCACCAUGCCCACCAACUACAUCCUUCUGUGCCACAAUCUAACUUCUCAGUGGCACCAGGGAGAGCACAACCAAGCUCCUUUUGGAUCCCACUUGUAUCUUGUUCCCUUACUGCAAGGACAGACCCAAGCCCAACCCUGGCAAACAUUUCCUACCAGGGCAGCCACCACUGUGCAGGCUGGGUGAUGAGGCACCAGUGGGUGCAAGGAAACCCUAAAGCCCACAGGGGUCAGGGCUGGCAAUGCCCCACAUCCCUCCAUGCUGCUCAGCCCUUCUGCUGAUGUUCUGCAGGAGAGCAGCAGCUGAUGGUGCUAAAAAUACCCUUGGGCAGGGUAGCAGUGGUUCAGCACUGGGCUUCCCAGAAGAGUGCUGGUAUUUCAGCCUUGUGACUCCAGCUCAGGCCACUUGAUGAACAGCAUGCAACUUUGCUCUGAUUUCCCCAUUUGGUAGGGAACAAUCUCAGUAACGGAUGGAUAAGUCAGCAAACAGCAUAGUUCGCUUUCUUAUUUUAGGUCUCCCAUAGACAUAGAUAUGAAUGACUCUGAAAUAUAGGCAGCACCUGGUCCUUCCCUGCUGUCACAUUGUCCCCUUGAUGGAAAAGCAAAGGAGAUUCCUAUACAAGAUCCCUCUGUAGGUCUGAGGAGGCAGCCGUAAAUGUCCGACCAUAUGCGUGCCAAACAUCCAACCACUCUGCAACCUCACUUUGCCCAUUGCACGUGGGGCAAGAUGGGAGGGAUUCCCCAAAUCUGCAAGCACAUCCCAUAAAAUACCCCGGACACCAGCUGAGAGCACCACCUGUCAGUGGAGUGCUUUGUUCCCAAACCAGGUCCUGCUGGCACAUCCCUCUGACACACUCUACAGAAGAAAAAGUAAAACUAGGAACUUUUUGACUUCUUAUUUUGCAGAAGUGUGACCUUUCGACCUGAAUCACGAUGAGUGGUUAUGAGGAAGAGCUGCUCUCACUUCUAAAUUAUUGCCAUGCAAUGAGCAGGUUUCCAUGGGGUAGCUGAAGGCAUGUCCUGAGGUACAAGGGAUACAAGCAUCCCAUUCUUGCUCUACUUUGCACUAAAGGACUGGUCUUAGAGGAGCUUAUUCUCUAAAAAUGACCUGACUGGCUGAAUAAAACACAAUUUCUGUUUUAAUAUUGUUGUGUUAUGAAACACUGCAAUAGAGGCACAAAUGUGGGCAAGAACAAGUUUUACUGCAGACGCUUUAUCUGCUGAUAGAUUGUCCCAGUGCUGCAUUCCUCAUUCCCUGGGGGUCUGGUCCAGCUCAGAUUGGAAGAUAGUGAAGAUCUUGGGAGAUCUCCAGUAGUGUGGGUCAAAAUUCACUGAUUACAGAAAUGCAAUUGGUUCAGUUGAUCUGCAUAAAGAAAAAAACCACAGCCCAUAGUGGGAAUGUAGAGUAGGAUUGAGAGGAAAAGCUGAGCCCUAAUAGGGAGGCUGGUGCAUGGUGUAUUCAAUAAUUGCAUUUAUGAAUAAACAAUUAAGUAUUACCAAUGAAUCUCUUGCAUUUUAUUGACCCAGGCACAGAAGCUGCUUUUUGGCACUGAUGACUUGCUCAGUUCACGCUUGACAAUGGGGAAUUGUAGUGGCUGUUCCCUUAAGAAAUCAUCCAAGAUUGGGACUUAUUUGUGCGCCAUUGCUUGCAUCAAUUAACAGUACAAUCUUUUUGUUAUGAAAACGCAAACAUUAGUAGCCUGAGGAGCCUUGUAAAUGCAAAUAUAAAACUUUAAUUUCAGUAACCCCCACUUUCCCUUCAAGUACAAUAAAGGCUCUUUUUUUUUUUUUUUUUCAUUUGCUGUUACAACGACGGGUCUUUAUUAUUAUUAUUAUUAUUUUUCCUCUUUCUCUUCACUUUACAUUGAGUUUAACUCAGGGGAUUUCAGUAGGGAUAGUUUUCCAUCAGCAGAUAUGGGGUGGCUGCAGCCGGUGCUGGGAUCUGUGGGCUCCUUGGGGCAGGUCAGUGCCAACCAUAGGGAGGGGAUCAUGGCUGGGCACUGGGGCCAGCCUUGGGCAGGGCAGAAUUCUCACGUGAGGAUUCUUUCCACUCUCUCCAGGCAGCUGGAGAGCCUAAAUUUGGCAUCGUGUUUCUGUUGCGAGAAUGAGAAGGAGAGAGAGACCUUGAAACGUGCCCUUGGCCAUGGCCCCGGUUGGGUGACCAUUGCUGCAGGGAAUGCUUUGGGGUCAAAACUGAUGGUUUUACUGUGAAGUGGUAUGAAAGAGAGAGCUGCCUUCUUGAAAGCAAGGUGGGAGAUGGCACCUGAGUCCGUGAUGAAAGAAUUGGACAAAAACCCAAGGUCUGCUUUCCCCUCUCUUUUUUACACCACGCAUGUACAAGUAAGACAGCCGCUUUGCUUUCUUCCUCCCAUGUUGGCCCAAGUGUGCCUGGGUAUGUUUCUAAACAGAAAACCUGCCCUCAGCAAGGUGCAGUCUGCAGCUCCUCAGGUUCCC